UGUGAAAGGCACAGAGCUAUAUAGAAUGGUUAUCCUACAGAAGGAUAUGUGUCUGGUGCAAGCGGUCUAACUGAUAGGGUUGGAAAAAGUGCGGGCGGACAUUGCCAUCCCCCGAAGUAUUGGCAGAAACAAAAAGAACUUUUCUACUCUAGGCACAAAGCCCGAAAAUUUUGGGGAGGAGGCCAGUCAAUUAGAUCGACCGCAGUACGCAACUGGUACUUAAUUCAUCGACCCCGAAAGGAUGAAAGGUGAAAUCGACCUAGGUGGAAUUUGAACUCAGUACGUAAAGACAGACGAAAUGCCGCUAAGCAUUUCGCCUGGCGCGCUAUCGUUUCUGCCAGCUCGCCGCCUUAGAAGCAGAAAAAAAAACUAUUACAUAAAUGUGUUUCUAUAAUUACAAAGCUACCGGAAGGUGCAUUGAAAGAGAUAAUUCCCGAUAUUCAUCAUACUUUGAGCAGUUUGUGGGCAUUUCACUGCACUUCAAGACUGAAGCACUGGCCGUCAAACACACCGUGGUGCCCUGUCGGAACGAAAAAUGUGCUCCACCCAUCGUAUUUGGGAAGGAGAAUGCUUGUAACGCUGGAGAUAUUCUACAGUGCAAGCUGUUCACUACCAUUGAACUAAGCUCACCAAUUUGAGAAUUACUGCCUUAACCUGAUGGCAAUGAAACAGUGGAUCCAUUAUAGGGCUAAAGAGACAGUCACAUUUUAACAUGGCGUGUUCGUAAAUACCAGACAUCAUUAUGGCGGCUACUCCAAUACAAGAAUCUAUGUUGAAUUGAGAAUAAGCGAAAUUGUGGCAAUCAAGGCAGCAUUGAACAAGUCUGACAUAUGGCAAAUGAACUUGUAGGGCGAACCACCCAAUCCUAAUGAUUUUCACCUCGUACAGCAGCUCAGCACGUCUGCAACUUCGUCCGCCGAAAUCAGUUUUCCGCAGUACUCUGCCUCUCUUCUUGAGAAUAGCAGCAAACCAUCGAGGUAUUCUUGAGAAUAGCGGUAAACCGUCAUAUUGACAACAGCUUGGUAGAGUUCUGCUGGAAAACUGCACCCCUUCUUUUGGAAUCGGAGACAACGCACCUGUUGCGGUCCGUCAUAUACAAUAUUCUGGUUUUGUUGAUAGCUAUACAGGACAGAAGUUUGUGACCUGUGUAGCCGACUUUCAGAAACUCUACACAACAUACGUUAGUCUUAUCUGCUAGCCUAGCAAAGAUUUUUAUCUAAAUACAACCUGGAUGACCCGCUGCAUCUAUACCAAAUCUAAAUUGGCGCAUUCGGGAAAUCAAGGUGAAACAUGCCAGACUGGAAGCGCUU